rnacentral:lncRNA from 1 species
UGAAAGGCUUAAGAAAGGGAGAGGAAUGUCCUUAUAGUCACCAGCCGCUCAGGUGGGGUGGCUCCUUACCAAGUGUAACAGGACGUAUCAGGAUAAGGAAUAUUUGAAUGUCUAAUAUGUCUGAAGAACCACGAGAGCCUUCACAGAGCUGCCAAAGUCAAUUCCAUACACUCUACGGUGGGGCAAGACUGUUUGCAUAAUUUCUUGCUCUGAGAAGCACGGUUCCCCGAGGCCUCUGCAGCGAACCCCACCCAGGGCUUCCUGUGUUGCUGUGCCGUCAGUGUUGCCGUCAGUGUUGCCAAACAGUAUUCAACCUCUGGAAUACAUCUACAUGGAACAAAGGAGAUCAUCUCAUUCGCCUACGUGGCCCUACUUUUAAGAUAUUUAGUUACUUCAUGCCACAUUAUUUUUGUGUUUCCCACAGAAAGUCGAUGUGCCCUUUUCACAGGCAUGACCAGCCCCA